rnacentral:rRNA from 1 species
UACGUAGGGGGCUAGCGUUGUCCGGAAUCAUUGGGCGUAAAGAGCGUGUAGGCGGCCCGGUAAGUCCGCUGUGAAAGUCGGGGGCUCAACCCUCGAAUGCCGGUGGAUACUGUCGGGCUAGAGUGCGGAAGAGGCGAGUGGAAUUCCUGGUGUAGCGGUGAAAUGCGCAGAUAUCAGGAGGAACACCGAUGGCGAAGGCGGUCUGCUGGGCAGUUGCUGACACUGAGGCGCGACAGCGUGGGGAGCAAACAGG